UUUAGCCAGUACCCCUAAGCAAAGAGAGCUUUAGUUUAGCCCCCCGAAACUAGACGAGCUACUUCAAGACAGCCUAUAUAGGGCGAACCCGUCUCUGUUGCAAAAGAGUGGGAUGAUCUUCAAGUAGAGGUGACAAACCUAUCGAGCCUAGUAAUAGCUGGUUGCCUAAAAAAUGUAUAUAAGUUCAGCCUCCCGGUUCCCUACGGUCAAAGACAUUCAUGUCUCCUAAGACCAAAGGUGGCCGGGAGAGUUAGUCAAAGAGGGUACAGCUUCUUUGAAAAAGGAUACAACCUCAUCGGGAGACCAAAGAUCAUAAUUAUCUAAGGAAACUUAUUUUAGUGGGCCUAAAAGCAGCCACCUAAGAAGAAAGCGUUAAAGCUUAAACAAAUUUUACCCUUAAAUACCGAAUUCAAUUCUACACUCCCCACCUACUAUUAGGCCUUCCCACAAAUCCUGGGAAAGACCCUGCUAAAAUAAGUAAUAAGAGGACCUGAUCCUCUCCCCGCAUAUGUGUAAGUCGGAACGGACAUACCACCGACAACUAACGAUCCCUCCCGAGAGAAAUGUAAUACCGCAUAAAUAGCAAGAAAACUCAACAAAUUUAAUCGUUAACCCAACACAGGAAUGCAUGCCCGGAAAGACUUAAUUAAAGGGAAGGAACUCGGCAAACACAAGCCUCGCCUGUUUACCAAAAACAUCGCCUCUUGCGAAAAAGAACGAAUAAGAGUCCCGCCUGCCCAGUGACAUUGUUUUAACGGCCGCGGUAUUUUGACCGUGCGAAGGUAGCGCAAUCAAUUGUCUCUUAAAUGGAGACCAGUAUGAAUGGCAUCACGAGGGCUUAACUGUCUCCCCUUUAAAGUCAAUGAAAUUGAUCUCCCCGUGCAGAAGCGGGGAUAUACUCGUAAGACGAGAAGACCCUAUGGAGCUUUAGAUAUAAAGCGACUCAUGUCAAACGCCCCUUCUAAAGGAAUCGAACAAAAUGAGCCCCGCCGGAAUAUCUUCAGUUGGGAUGACCGUGGGGAAAGACAAAACCCCCACAUGGACUGGGGCAAUUAUGGCCCUAAAACCUAGACCUACAAGUCAAACUAACAGUAUUUCUGACCACUAAAGAGCCGGCAUAUGCCGAUCAAUGGACCAAGUUACCCUAGGGAUAACAGCGCAAUCCCCUCCCAGAGCCCUUAUUGACGAGGGGGUUUACGACCUCGAUGUUGGAUCAGGGCAUCCCAAUGGUGCAGCCGCUAUUAAAG
rnacentral:rRNA from 1 species